GGUCAAGCGAAUAAGUGCAUGUGGUGGAUGCCUUGGCGAUCACAGGCGAUGAAGGACGUAGUAGCUUGCGAAAAGCUGCGGGGAGCUGGCAAACGAGCUUUGAUCCGCAGAUGUCCGAAUGGGGAAACCCGGCCCGUAUGGGUCAUCCCUUGCUGAAUACAUAGGCAAGGGAGGCGAACGCAGUGAACUGAAACAUCUAAGUAGCUGCAGGAAAAGAAAUCAACCGAGAUUCCCAGAGUAGUGGCGAGCGAAAUGGGAACAGCCUUGUACUCUUUAGCAGUAUUGUUAGCGGAACGGAAUGGAAAGUCCGGCCAUAGUGGGUGAUAGCCCCGUACGCGAAAACAGUAUUGUGGAACUAGGUGUACGACAAGUAGGGCGGGACACGUGAAAUCCUGUCUGAAGAUGGGGGGACCAUCCUCCAAGGCUAAAUACUCGUGANNNNNNNNNNNNNNNNNNNNNNNNNNNNNNNNNNNNNNNNNNNNNNNNNNNNNNNNNNNNNNNNNNNNNNNNNNNNNNNNNNNNNNNNNNNNNNNNNGGUCGACCGAUAGUGAACCAGUACCGUGAGGGAAAGGCGAAAAGAACCCCGGGAGGGGAGUGAAAUAGAUCCUGAAACCGCAUGCAUACAAACAGUCGGAGCCUGGAAACGGGUGACGGCGUACCUUUUGUAUAAUGGGUCAGCGACUUACAUUCAGUGGCAAGCUUAACCGAUUAGGGAAGGCGUAGCGAAAGCGAGUCCGAAUAGGGCGUUCAGUCGCUGGGUGUAGACCCGAAACCAAGUGAUCUAUCCAUGGCCAGGUUGAAGGUGCGGUAACACGUACUGGAGGACCGAACCCACUAACGUUGAAAAGUUAGGGGAUGAGCUGUGGAUAGGGGUGAAAGGCUAAACAAACUUGGAAAUAGCUGGUUCUCUCCGAAAACUAUUUAGGUAGUGCCUCGUGUCUCACCUUCGGGGGUAGAGCACUGUCAUGGUUGGGGGGUCUAUUGCUGAUUACCCCGCCAUAGCAAACUCCGAAUACCGAAGAGUGCAAUCACGGGAGACAGACAUCGGGUGCUAACGUCCGGUGUCAAGAGGGAAACAACCCAGACCGCCAGCUAAGGUCCCUAAGAUUGGCUAAGUGGGAAACGAAGUGGGAAGGCUAAAACAGUCAGGAGGUUGGCUUAGAAGCAGCCACCCUUUAAAGAAAGCGUAAUAGCUCACUGAUCGAGUCGUCCUGCGCGGAAGAUGUAACGGGGCUAAGCCAGUCACCGAAGCUGCGGAUGCACGUAAGUGCAUGGUAGGAGAGCGUUCUGUAAGCCUGUGAAGGUGUCUUGUAAAGGAUGCUGGAGGUAUCAGAAGUGCGAAUGCUGACAUGAGUAGCGAUAAAGGGGGUGAAAGGCCCCCUCGCCGUAAGCCCAAGGUUUCCUACGCAACGUUCAUCGGCGUAGGGUGAGUCGGCCCCUAAGGCGAGGCAGAGAUGCGUAGCUGAUGGGAAGCAGGUUAAUAUUCCUGCACCGUCGUAUGAUGCGAUGGGGGGACGGAUCGCGGAAGGUUGUCCGGGUGUUGGAAGUCCCGGUCCCUACAUUGGAGAUGGCACUUAGGCAAAUCCGGGUGCGUGAUUCAAGGGUGUGGGGCGAGCGACGUUAGGUCGCGAAGCAAUUGGAAGUGGUUCCAAGAAAAGCCUCUAAGCUUCAGUCAUACGAGACCGUACCGCAAACCGACACAGGUGGGCGAGAUGAGUAUUCUAAGGCGCUUGAGAGAACUCGGGAGAAGGAACUCGGCAAAUUGGUACCGUAACUUCGGGAUAAGGUACGCCCUUGUAGUUUGACUGGCUCGCGCCAGAAGGAUGAAGGGGUUGCAAUAAAAUGGUGGCUGCGACUGUUUAAUAAAAACACAGCACUCUGCAAACACGAAAGUGGACGUAUAGGGUGUGACGCCUGCCCGGUGCCGGAAGAUUAAAUGAUGGGGUGCAAGCUCUUGAUUGAAGUCCCGGUAAACGGCGGCCGUAACUAUAACGGUCCUAAGGUAGCGAAAUUCCUUGUCGGGUAAGUUCCGACCUGCACGAAUGGCGUAACGAUGGCCACACUGUCUCCUCCCGAGACUCAGCGAAGUUGAAGUGUUUGUGAUGAUGCAAUCUCCCCGCGGCUAGACGGAAAGACCCCAUGAACCUUUACUGUAGCUUUGCAUUGGACUUUGAACCGAUCUGUGUAGGAUAGGUGGGAGGCUUUGAAACCGGGACGCUAGUUUCGGUGGAGCCGACCUUGAAAUACCACCCUGGUUUGUUUGAGGUUCUAACCUUGGCCCGUGAAUCCGGGUCGGGGACAGUGCAUGGUAGGCAGUUUGACUGGGGCGGUCUCCUCCCAAAGUGUAACGGAGGAGUUCGAAGGUACGCUUGGUACGGUCGGACAUCGUACCUAAAGUGCAAUGGCAAAAGCGUGCUUAACUGCGAGACCGACAAGUCGAGCAGGUGCGAAAGCAGGACAUAGUGAUCCGGUGGUUCUGUAUGGAAGGGCCAUCGCUCAACGGAUAAAAGGUACUCUGGGGAUAACAGGCUGAUACCGCCCAAGAGUUCAUAUCGACGGCGGUGUUUGGCACCUCGAUGUCGGCUCAUCUCAUCCUGGGGCUGUAGCCGGUCCCAAGGGUAUGGCUGUUCGCCAUUUAAAGAGGUACGUGAGCUGGGUUUAAAACGUCGUGAGACAGUUUGGUCCCUAUCUGCCGUGGGCGUUGGAAUCUUGACGGGGGCUGCUCCUAGUACGAGAGGACCGGAGUGGACGUACCGCUGGUGUACCUGUUGUCUCGCCAGAGGCAUCGCAGGGUAGCUAUGUACGGAAGAGAUAACCGCUGAAAGCAUCUAAGCGGGAAACUCGCCUGAAGAUGAGGAUUCCCUGGAGACUUGAUCUCCCUGAAGGGUCGUUCGAGACCAGGACGUUGAUAGGCUGGGUGUGGAAGCGCAGUAAUGCGUUCAGCUAACCAGUACUAAUUGCCCGUGCGGCUUGAUCCU
rnacentral:rRNA from 1 species